ACCUGGAAUAGCUCAGUUGGUAAUGGAUGAGACUCAGUCUCAGGGUUGUGGGUUCAAGCCCCAUGUUGGGCA